rnacentral:lncRNA from 1 species
GGGAAGAUGACGGGAAAGAACGAAGGGGUAUGCCCCAUAACCAGUGGUAGGUGGGUAAUUUUGAGGGAAAACUCCCCUUCACAGCCGGUGGAAGCAAGGGAAGAGUUGUUGUGGAAAAUGAACUGGUCAAAACCUACUUUUGUGAUAGAACCUGGUCUGUAGCCCAUCCCUUUGGUUUGGCUUUUUGCUUUUUUGGAAGCGAAAGUAGUUUUGGAAGGACAACCAAAGGGACCCUUAGCCUGUUACAUUUAAGCACGUAAUCCCUGCUUAGUUGUUGCUCAUAUCACCGAGAGCAGAUCUCAUGCAAACAUAAAGGCGUUA